UUUAGAACACGGCAUAAUACCGGGAAUAUUUUAAAGAUGGAAAAUGGCAAUAUAACCUUAGUUUGCGGAAUGUUCUUAGCAAAUACCUGAAAAAAAAGUCGGGUGUCACCGUGCUUGUUCCCUCUCAAACUGCCGUGAAAGGUGGACAUGGUUUUGAGAACGCAGUCAGGAUGGAGAAUUUGCGCGGUGAGGACUGGGACGAGACACAAAAUGGCGCCCAUCGUGUUCGAGGUAUGCACUUGAUAUCAAGCUUGCUUUCGGUUGUUUUUAUGUGUUUGAUCUUGCUAACACUGAAAUUCAUACUUGGGAAGAGUAAAAAAAUAAUAAAGAAUGAGGAGCUUCUGAUAGGAUGCCACCCAUGAAACUUUGAAGCUGUGCUUUUGUAGCAGUUUGACAUUUAGAAACUUGUUCACCAGCUGGUAGUGUUUGCACAUCUGCAAGAGCAUUGUGAGCUUCAUAGGAUUUACGCAGAA